CUGCCCGCUGCCCAAGCCCAAUGGCUGCGAGUCGCGACGCCGGGAGCGUACGACCUGACCAGCGCCGCGGGCCCGCCCGUGCGCGCGCGUGGCACUGGCACUGGCACUGGCACCAGCACCGGCACCGCGGCGUGUGCCACUGUGCCUUGGACCGGCGCGUGGCCGACCGGGCAGAGACGGCCUGCGAACCGGCGCUGCCGUGUGCCGUGCCCGCGUGUGUGCAGCGCAGGCGCAGCGCUUGCGUUCCCGCGCCGCGCAUCUAUCGCUGAGCUGAGCGCCCGGCAGUCCGCCGCGGGCCUACCACGAGGGCUCGCACGGGCACGACGGCAGGCAGGGCGCCGUGGUGAUUAA
rnacentral:misc_RNA from 1 species